CCCUCCUCCUCCUUAUUACUAUAAAUCUCCACCACCACCAUCUCCUUCUCCUCCACCACCUUAUUAUUACAAGUCUCCACCACCACCCUCGCCAUCCCCUCCACCCCCAUACUACUAUAAAUCACCUCCGCCACCGUCUCCAUCGCCUCCUCCACCUUACUAUUACAAGUCACCACCACCACCGUCCCCUUCCCCACCCCCGCCGUACUACUCCACGUCACCACCGCCCCCCUCCACUUUCCACCACCAACCACCAUAUUAUUACAAGUCUCCACCGCCACCUUCACCUUCUCCUCCGCCACCAUACUACUAUAAAUCCCCACCACCACCAUCUCCAUCUCCUCCACCACCGUACUACUACAAGUCCCCACCACCACCAUCUCCAUCUCCUCCACCCCCAUACUACUACAAGUCUCCACCUCCGCCAUCACCUUCUCCUCCUCCGUACUACUACAAGUCUCCACCUCCACCAUCACCAUCUCCUCCUCCUCCUUACUACUACAAAUCGCCUCCACCACCUUCUCCUUCCCCACCGCCACCAUACUACUAUAAAUCCCCUCCGCCUCCGUCUCCAUCUCCUCCACCACCAUACUACUAUAAAUCCCCUCCACCGCCGUCUCCAUCUCCUCCUCCUCCGUACCACUACAAGUCGCCGCCACCACCAUCACCAUCUCCACCACCACCAUACUACUAUAAAUCUCCACCACCACCCUCUCCUUCCCCACCACCGCCGUACUAUUACAAAUCCCCACCACCAC
rnacentral:lncRNA from 1 species